AUGCCUGUGACAUGUGGCACUUUGGAACCAUGACAGUGACACACUAAUGACUUUGAUCCAGCUGCACUUGAAAGUCUAUGUGUGGUUAUGUAUUCCAGCAUGUCUCAGCAAUCUGUAACCAAGAAGUGAGACUGAAUGCCCCCCCCCUUAGGCAAGCCCUGAAGUUUAAAGUGUCACAUGCUGAAUCUAACACCCUUUACACUCACCUCACCAGCCAAGAGUGCAAACAGGCAUGGUAGAAAAGAGAAAAAAGUGGGAAAGAAAAGAUGGGAAAGAUUUUAGAAGAUGACCUUGUAAUGGUGUUUGUGUUAAGAAUUGUGUUUGGGUCAUUCUUUACAUGUCCUCAAAUCCUGUGACUCGGAAGGGGCAACUGUGAUCAAAACCCAUCAGGAUAACAAACACUGCAGUUAUGUUCAGAGGGAAACACAGUAGUGGUCUUUGAAACCUCUGAUUAGUAAAGUUUUCUUCUCUCUCCUAUUGCUGCUUACUAGCAAGUACUGUCACUUAGGGUUUUUCAGAGAAUGCCUUUUGUGGUAUCUAGGAAUAAGAUGUAUGGAGUGAGACUGAGAUAUGUUCACUGCUUGAGCCUUUCCCUAAUACACAAGAGGUCCUGGGUUCCAUUCCCAACAUUGAAAAAAGAAAAGACAAACAAAAACAAAAACAAAAAAACUUGGGAGACAGGUGGAUUUCUGAGUUUGAGUCCAGCCUUGUCUACAGAGUGAGG
rnacentral:lncRNA from 1 species